ACCACUGCUUCACUAAAAACCUCCUACAACACAGCUGUUUGACAGCUGAAAAUAUCACAAUGUUUACUGGAGCGUGAUUCAUAUAUUAUAUCACUGACCGAUGACACAGUUGAUUAUUUAUAUGAUGAGUUAACUUAACAUGCAGGUUGUGCUAAGGUAAAUGGAUUUACUGCCAAAAAACAUCUAAUAUUCUUACACACAAUCAUGUACCAAAGUACAAUCAUGUGAAUCUUCUGGAGUCACGUGUUGUCUCUUUGUCCUUUGAGUCUGUUAAUUGUUGGAGAUUUUAAUUGUUGGGAGUCUGCUGGUUGAGCUCUCAUUCUGUGAAAAGCAUCCUGGGACUUUGAACAACAGCUGAAAUUCACGACAUAAUGAGAGCUGGCGUAUUUUGUGACUAAUAAUGUUGAUUUAAACGUCUUGUCAGAAUGAGAAAAAUGUAAGGUUGCAUCACUGUAUCACAAUUUGGUGAAUGAAAUUCUGUUAACUUUCCAGGUGCUAUUUUCACUUUUGAUCACUAAAUGAUAAUCAAAUUAAAUCAAAUACAGCAGAGCUGUAGCAUCUCAUGAUGGUGUAAACGCCGUUUCAGAUGUCUUCACGCCCUGACAGAAAUAAAACGUGGGGACACCAUCGAAUGCUUGAUGUUUGCAGCUUUAAAUGUAUACAAUCAUAUGUGACUUAAUGAUAAGACAAAAUGCCUGAAACGUCAGAUUCACUCGUGGUCUUCAAACCUCAUCGAAGAUGAGUUUCCGUGUGUCUUCAAGUGUGAGCUGAUGCUCAGCGAGUGAUGAAUAAACUUCCCCUCCAGUCAUGUGACCAUGGCAGCAUGUGACCUCGUGUUUUCUUGGUGCUAAACAGUUUGACUCCAUCAUUCGGCUGGAAGGAGGCUCAUCACAGACAUGCUCGUCACGGUCCUCUACCUGUCACUUCUUUUGCACUCAGGUCUCUCUGUGGUGGUUCUUCAGGCAGGGGAUCAAAUGUCUCACCCCGGAGUCACGGUGACGUUGGAGUGCAGCAUGGGUCAAGGGUUCAGUAUGUCCAGCUACACCAUGUACUGGUACAGACAAAACCACUACGGAGCACCAGUUCAGUACCUCACCAGAGAGUACGACCAGACUGAGGGGCGCUUCCAGUCGUCCAUCGACGCGUCCAAAAACUUCUUCUCUCUUCAAAUCACUGAGCUGCUCCCCAACGACAGCAGCACCUACUACUGUGCUGCCAGUCACAGUGAUGCACACAGACCAGGCAGCCAUACAAAUAACCGCCUGCCACAGACGGCGUGCAGACAGGAAGGAGCAGCGGUUCAUUUGAUCUGACACAAAACUGUCAAACUAGAGCUGGCAAAGUGGAAAGAGAACCAUGAUGAGAUUGAUUCAGAAUAGUCAAAGCUUCAAAA